rnacentral:rRNA from 1 species
GAUGAACGCUGGCGAUAGGCUUAACACAUGCAAGUCGAGGGGCAGCAUGGUCUUAGCUUGCUAAGGCUGAUGGCGACCGGCGCACGGGUGCGUAACGCGUAUGCAACUUGCCUCACAGAGGGGGAUAACCCGUCGAAAGUCGGACUAAUACCGAGUACACGCUAUGUUGUGCAGCCAAUGUAGAGGAAAUGAAUUUCGCUGUGAGCUCGGCAUGCGUGCCAUUAGCUAGUGGGUGAGGUAACGGCUCACUAAGGCGACGAUGGGUAGGGGAGGUGAGGGGUGGAAGCCCCAGACUGGUACUGAGACAAGGAGCAGACUCCUACGGGAGGCAGCAGUGAGGGAUGUUGGUCAAUGGGAGAGAGCCUGAAGCGGCCAAGUCGCGUGAAGGAAGACUGUGUGAUGGAUUGUAACCUUCUUUUAGACGGGAAUAACAGGAGUCACGGGUGGCUCCCUGCAGGUACCGUAUGAAUAAGCACCGGCUAACUCCGUG